UGCAAGUCGAGCGGAGAUGAGGUGCUUGCACCUUAUCUUAGCGGCGGACGGGUGAGUAAUGCUUAGGAAUCUGCCUAUUAGUGGGGGACAACAUUCCGAAAGGAAUGCUAAUACCGCAUACGCCCUACGGGGGAAAGCAGGGGAUCUUCGGACCUUGCGCUAAUAGAUGAGCCUAAGUCGGAUUAGCUAGUUGGUGGGGUAAAGGCCUACCAAGGCGACGAUCUGUAGCGGGUCUGAGAGGAUGAUCCGCCACACUGGGACUGAGACACGGCCCAGACUCCUACGGGAGGCAGCAGUGGGGAAUAUUGGACAAUGGGCGGAAGCCUGAUCCAGCCAUGCCGCGUGUGUGAAGAAGGCCUUUUGGUUGUAAAGCACUUUAAGCGAGGAGGAGGCUACUUAGAUUAAUACUCUAGGAUAGUGGACGUUACUCGCAGAAUAAGCACCGGCUAACUCUGUGCCAGCAGCCGCGGUAAUACAGAGGGUGCGAGCGUUAAUCGGAUUUACUGGGCGUAAAGCGUGCGUAGGCGGCUGAUUAAGUCGGAUGUGAAAUCCCUGAGCUUAACUUAGGAAUUGCAUUCGAUACUGGUCAGCUAGAGUAUGGGAGAGGAUGGUAGAAUUCCAGGUGUAGCGGUGAAAUGCGUAGAGAUCUGGAGGAAUACCGAUGGCGAAGGCAGCCAUCUGGCCUAAUACUGACGCUGAGGUACGAAAGCAUGGGGAGCAAACAGGAUUAGAUACCCUGGUAGUCCAUGCCGUAAACGAUGUCUACUAGCCGUUGGGGCCUUUGAGGCUUUAGUGGCGCAGCUAACGCGAUAAGUAGACCGCCUGGGGAGUACGGUCGCAAGACUAAAACUCAAAUGAAUUGACGGGGGCCCGCACAAGCGGUGGAGCAUGUGGUUUAAUUCGAUGCAACGCGAAGAACCUUACCUGGGCCUUGACAUAGUAAGAACUUUCCAGAGAUGGAUUGGUGCCUUCGGGAACUUACAUACA
rnacentral:rRNA from 1 species